GCUCCUAUAGCUCAGCUGGCAGAGCGCAAGACUGAAGCAUAUUUGCCUUCAUUGGAUCCAAAGUCCUUCUUGAGGUCACCUGUUCGAACCAGGUUGGGAGCA